rnacentral:rRNA from 1 species
UACGGAGGGAGCUAGCGUUGUUCGGAAUUAUUGGGCGUAAAGCGCACGUAGGCGGCUUCGCAAGUCGGAUGUGAAAUCCCUCGGCUCAACCAAGGAAGUGCAUCCGAAACUGCAGAGCUUGAGUACUUAAGAGGAUCGCGGAAUUCCCGGUGUAGAGGUGAAAUUCGUAGAUAUCGGGAGGAACACCAGUGGCGAAGGCGGCGAUCUGGGAAGAUACUGACGCUGAGGUGCGAAAGCGUGAGGAGCAAACAGG